UGUUUCGGCUAGGGGGCCAUCCCGGCUUACCAACCCGAUGCAAACUGCGAAUACCGGAGAAUGUUAUCACGGGAGACACACGGCGGGUGCUAACGUCCGUCGUGAAGAGGGAAACAACCCAGACCGCCAGCUAAGGUCCCAAAGUCAUGGUUAAGUGGGAAACGAUGUGGGAAGGCCCAGACAGCCAGGAUGUUGGCUUAGAAGCAGCCAUCAUUUAAAGAAAGCGUAAUAGCUCACUGGUCGAGUCGGCCUGCGCGGAAGAUGUAACGGGGCUAAACCAUGCACCGAAGCUGCGGCAGCGAACGUAUCACUUAAAGCGAUUCAGCGGGUUACGAUUGACGGAGCGAAGCGACGUCAAAGCGUAUACAAAGUCGAGUCGGUUUAAGGAUACGUUCGUUGGGUAGGGGAGCGUUCUGUAAGCCUGUGAAGGUGGCCUGUGAGGGUUGCUGGAGGUAUCAGAAGUGCGAAUGCUGACAUAAGUAACGAUAAAGCGGGUGAAAAGCCCGCUCGCCGGAAGACCAAGGGUUCCUGUCCAACGUUAAUCGGGGCAGGGUGAGUCGACCCCUAAGGCGAGGCCGAAAGGCGUAGUCGAUGGGAAACGGGUUAAUAUUCCCGUACUUGGUGUUACUGCGAAGGGGGGACGGAGAAGGCUAUGUUGGCCGGGCGACGGUU
rnacentral:rRNA from 1 species